rnacentral:rRNA from 1 species
UACGGAGGGUGCGAGCGUUAAUCGGAAUCACUGGGCGUAAAGCGCACGUAGGCGGCGCAUCAAGUCAGACGUGAAAGCCCUCGGCUCAACCGAGGAAUUGCGUUUGAAACUGGUGUGCUUGAGUAUGGGAGAGGGAAGUGGAAUUCCUGGUGUAGAGGUGAAAUUCGUAGAUAUCAGGAGGAACACCGGUGGCGAAGGCGGCCAACUGGACGAGUACUGACGCUGAGGUG